rnacentral:rRNA from 1 species
UGCGUAGGGGGCAAGCGUUGUCCGGAUUUAUUGGGCGUAAAGAGCGUGUAGGCGGCCGCACAGGUCCGUUGUGAAAACUGGAGGCUUAACCUUCAGACGUCGAUGGAAACCGUGCGGCUAGAGUCCGGAAGAGGAGAAUGGAAUUCCUGGUGUAGCGGUGAAAUGCGCAGAUAUCAGGAAGAACACCCGUGGCUAAGGCGGUUCUCUAGUACGGUACUGACGCUGAGACGCGAAAGCGUGGGGAGCGAACAGG